UACAGAGGGUGCGAGCGUUGUUCGGAAUUACUGGGCGUAAAGGGCUUGUAGGUGGCCAACUAAGUCAGACGUGAAAUCCCACGGCUUAACCGGGGAACUGCGUCUGAUACUGGAUGGCUUGAGUGUGGGAGAGGGAUGCGGAAUUCCAGGUGUAGCGGUGAAAUGCGUAGAUAUCUGGAGGAACACCGGUGGCGAAGGCGGCAUCCUGGACCGGUAUUGACGCUGAGGCGCGAAAGCCAGGGGAGCAAAGCGGG
rnacentral:rRNA from 1 species